AUGUGUGUUGAUUGUAGAGGCAUUAAUAAUAUUACUAUUCGUUAUCGUCAUCCUAUUCCUAGGCUAGAUGAUAUGCUUGAUGAAUUGAGUGGCUCUACAAUAUUCUCCAAAGUUGAUUUGCGUAGUGGCUACCAUCAAAUUCGUAUGAAAUUGGGAGAUGAAUGGAAAACAGCAUUUAAAACUAAGUUUGGAUUAUAUGAGUGGUUAGUCAUGCCUUUUGGGUUAACUAAUGCACCUAGUACUUUCAUGAGAUUAAUGAACGAAGUUUUACGUGCUUUCAUUGGACGAUUUGUGGUAGUUUACUUUGAUGACAUAUUGAUUUAUAGCAGAUCAUUGGAAGAACAUUUGGAACAUUUACGUGCUGUUUUUAUUGCUCUACGUGAUGCACGUUUGUUUGGUAACCUUGGGAAGUGCACCUUUUGCACCGACCGAGUAUCUUUUAUUGGCUAUGUUGUUACUCCACAGGGAAUUGAAGUUGAUAAAGCCAAGAUUGAAGCUAUUGAGAGUUGGCCGCAGCCCAAAACGGUCACACAAGUGAGGAGUUUUCUUGGCCACGCUGGAUUCUAUAGGCGUUUUGUGAGAGAUUUCAGCACCAUUGCUGCACCUCUCAAUGAGCUUACAAAGAAAGAUGUGCCUUUUCUUUGGGGUACUGCACAGGAAGAAGCCUUCACGGUAUUGAAAGAUAAGUUGACACAUGCUCCUUUACUCCAACUUCCUGAUUUUAAUAAGACUUUUGAGCUUGAAUGUGAUGCUAGUGGAAUUGGAUUAGGAGGUGUGUUAUUACAAGAUGGCAAACCUGUUGCAUACUUUUCUGAAAAAUUGAGUGGGCCUAGUCUGAAUUAUUCUACUUAUGAUAAAGAAUUAUAUGCUCUUGUUCGGACUUUAGAAACAUGGCAACAUUAUUUAUGGCCCAAAGAAUUUGUUAUACAUUCUGAUCAUGAAUCUUUGAAACAUAUUAAAAGUGAAGCUAAACUGAAUCGUAGACAUGCUAAAUGGGUUGAAUUCAUUGAGACUUUCCCUUAUGUCAUUAAACACAAGAAGGGAAAAGAAAAUGUUAUUGCUGAUGCAUUGUCUCGUCGCUAUACUAUGCUUUCACAACUUGACUUCAAAAUAUUUGGUUUGGAGACCAUCAAAGAUCAAUAUGUGCAUGAUGCUGAUUUUAAAGAUGUAAUGCAGAAUUGUAAAGAAGGAAGAAUGUGGAACAAGUUUGUCGUUAACGAUUGA
rnacentral:rRNA from 1 species